CGUGUCUUGCCCCAAAGUGAACGCUCACCCCAAUCCUCGCUCCAAUUCGAAGAACCCUAACACAAAUCGAUUCCAUCUCAAGUCGAAUCGAACGAUUUCUCGCAAGCCGCAUCGUUCUUUCGUCAAAUUGGCUCCUCCAAUCCUGCGUUCGCUCAUCAAAAUUGAAGAUCCGAUUCACCCACAACACCCGAUUCGACCUCCGGAUUCUGCAGCGAACGCGACAAGGUGUGUGGUCCUGAUUUUCUUGUGUUGUCGGCACUCAGCGAACACAAUAUAAAGGACUCUUCAAACAGCUGUUGGAGUAUUUGGUGGUGAAGGCUACACAGAGAGGUUCGAUUUACUACAACUAAUGGUUGCAAAAUCAGGAAAUAGUGAUCGUGUUGCUAUUUCAAGUCUAGCCUCUCUACCAGUUGCAAAUGCAGGAAACAAUUCAUGCUUUCCUGGCACAAGACAGUAGAUCUAAGAAAAUCUUUUCACAACCAUGCCUCUAUAGUUAUCUAGCCAAGCUUGAGGAAUCUGGAUAGUGCAAGUUCAAAUGGUAAGGCCCUCAGUGGUGAACUUGAGAAUGACAUUCAUAGAUUGGAAAGUAAGUGGUUUGAUCAUUGUGCAUGGCAGGCUUUGUUAGUAAGCUCUUCACUUAAACCAAAAGAAAGGAGAUAGAUAGACAUGGCACAAUUGAGAGUUAAAACUACACCGACCAUCAUUAUGAGGUUCUUUCAGUUAGGUAGUACAAUCAAUAUAGCCAAUUCAGCUACCAAAUGCUAUUGUAACCCUCUCCUCAUUCUGUUCUGAGAGUUUACUUGAUGAUUUCCUGGAAAAUGAUAGAUCCAUGGCUUCUUAAGCAUUUCCCAUUAGAUGUUCUAGUUCCUUUCAUUCAUAGUCAAGGAUGACCUUUUGAUUGUCCAAGUGCAAUUAGCUCAGGUACCAUAUGUUCUCUCUGCGAAAUUGUUCUCUGUUCAUAGCAUGAAUCUAUUCGGAUUGGAAGUGCUCCUACUGGAAGAGUUCAUCCAAUUAGUAUCUAUUCAUCUGUCCAUCAUAUUUGCUCAUUGUCUUGACUAUUGGAAGUGUCUUUUUGGAUUCUCUUAAAUCUUAUGCUAUCCUCACUAUUUCCCUUGCAAAUGGCAGAAUCACAAAAGGAAACUCCAGUAGUAAUUUUGAAAGCAUAAAUAGCAAUUGUACUAUAACUAACAGCGAGGUGUCAUCGCAAGAAGAGAUUAGCGAAUUCAUGAAGAGAUCAGCCUAUUCGUCACAAUCGAUGGCGUCGGUCCCUCCAAUCAACAACGAUACAUCCAUUUUUUGUUACUGUGGCCUCAAAUCUCCACUACGAACAGCAAGGACGAAGGACAAUCGGGGAAGAAGAUACUACGGCUGCCCAAGAUACAACCACAACAACAAAGGAGAAAGUUGCAGUUUUUUUAUUUGGGUUGAUGGGGAAAUCAGUCAAUCGGCAAGAAGUGUGUCGAAAAGUUUUCACCAGAGCAAUGUCGAGCAAGAACUAAUGUCAACCUGUAGUGAGGAUGAUGGCUGCUCGAUGGACGCUGAAGUCAAGGCUCUCAAAGCACAAUUAAAACAUGUGAAACAAGAAAAUUCUAGAUUGAAGAUAAUGUUGGUUGUGUUGUUAGUGUUUAUAGUAAUAUUAGCUCGUAUGUUAUUUUAAAAUUUGAAGGUGAAGGAUGUCAUGAGUUUGGCAUAGAAUGUGUUAUUCUGAACAUGUUUUGUAUUCGUCGGCAUCUUUUUUACAUGUAUGUGCACUUUGUUUGUGGGAUGAAUGAAGUGAAGAUUUUUUUUCA